rnacentral:rRNA from 1 species
UACGGGGGGGGCAAGCGUUGUUCGGAAUUACUGGGCGUAAAGGGUGCGUAGGCGGUCCGCUAAGUUGGAUGUGAAAACUCUGGGCUUAACCCAGAGCCUGCAUUCAAAACUGACGGGCUAGAGUUCUGGAGGGGGUAGCGGAAUUCCUGGUGUAGCGGUGAAAUGCGUAGAUAUCAGGAAGAACACCGGUGGCGAAGGCGGCCCACUGGAUCGGUACUGACGCUGGAGGCACGAAAGCGUGGGGAGCAAACAGG